rnacentral:rRNA from 1 species
AAAAUUUAAAAUUAAAAUACUAAAAUAGUAAAUAUAAUUUUGUUGAAAUUUAAAUAAUUUGGCGGUAUUUUAGUUCAUUUAGAGGAAUCUGUUUAAUAAUUGAUAUUCCACGAAUAAAUUUACUUAGUUUAUAAUUUUGUAUAUCGUUGUUAUAAAAAUAUUUUUUAAUGAAAUUAAUAUUUAAAAAUUAAAAUAUAAAUUUAAAUCAGAUCAAGAUGCAGUUUAUAAUUAAGAAUAUAAUGGAUUACAAUAAAUUUAUUUAAAUGGAUUUUAAUUUUUAAUAAUUAAUUGAAGGUGGAUUUAAAUGUAAUUUUAUUUAAUUUAAUAAAAUGAUUAAAAAUUAAAAUAUGU